UCGACCUCAGAUCAGGUAGGGAUACCCG
rnacentral:rRNA from 1 species